AACGAACGCUGGCGGCAUGCCUAACACAUGCAAGUCGAACGAGAUCUUCGGGUCUAGUGGCGCACGGGUGCGUAACGCGUGGGAAUCUGCCCUUUGGUUCGGAAUAACAGUUGGAAACGACUGCUAAUACCGGAUGAUGACGAAAGUCCAAAGAUUUAUCGCCAGAGGAUGAGCCCGCGUAGGAUUAGCUAGUUGGUGUGGUAAAGGCGCACCAAGGCGACGAUCCUUAGCUGGUCUGAGAGGAUGAUCAGCCACACUGGGACUGAGACACGGCCCAGACUCCUACGGGAGGCAGCAGUGGGGAAUAUUGGACAAUGGGCGAAAGCCUGAUCCAGCGAUGCCGCGUGAGCGAUGAAGGCCUUAGGGUUGUAAAGCUCUUUUACCCGGGAUGAUAAUGACAGUACCGGGAGAAUAAGCUCCGGCUAACUCCGUGCCAGCCGCCGCGGUAA
rnacentral:rRNA from 1 species